UUAUCUUUGUCUCCCAAAAACCAAGAAAACCAUCGGAGCAAUCUUCGCUCGCUCUGUGAAUCCAUGGCGUCGGUCAACAGGCUUAAGCCCGCAGUCCUCCAUCCCUCCCACUUCUCCAACCCACCACCACCUUCAUCUCCCUCGUCACUUCCCACCACCACACCCAGAGCCCCCAAGUUGUCACGCUCUUUUAGCUCCGUUUCUUGGACCGUGAUUCAGUAUCACCGGAACCCCAUCACGACCGUGUCUCGAAGGUUGUUCCUUCCUUCUGUUUCGGGCAUCUGGGAGGCCCUCACCGGAGGAGGUGGAGGAGGCAACGAUGCCCGCGAAGCGGUUCUCGCUGUUCGACGGGGAAUGCUGCUCUUCAGACAGGGGGACGUUAUUGGUUCUUUGAUGGAAUUUGAUAAGGCGAUAGAGCUGGAUCCUCGUCAAAAGGCAUAUCUUUGGCAAAGAGGGCUGUCACUUUACUAUCUCGAUAGGUUCGAAGAAGGUGCAGAGCAGUUCAGAAUAGAUGUUGCACAAAAUCCAAAUGACACUGAGGAAUCAAUAUGGUGUUUUCUUUGUGAGGCUCAACUUUAUGGAGUGGAUGAAGCAAGGAAAAGAUUUCUCGAGGUGGGGAGGGAUCCACGACCUGUAAUGCGGGAGGCAUAUAACCUGUUUAAAGAUGGGGGAGAUCCAGAAAAGCUUGUUGCUGGAUUUCUGAAUGGACGGGAUAGUGAGUACUUCUAUGCUUCUUUGUAUGCUGGCCUUUAUUACGAAGCUGAGAACAAGCCAGAAGGGGCUAAACGAUGUAUCAUUGCUGCGUGUCAGUCCCCUUAUGGAGAAAAGUCAGAUGAUUAUAUGGCUUCACUGGCCAAGGUUCACCGUCUUUGCAGAGAUUGGAGUUCCACUUAAAUAUCACAUUGCUGAGGGUUAACUAGAACGAUUUAGAAGCUUGCAUAUCUGAUCUUUAGGCGCUCAGCUCUGCUGGUUCAUCAUAUCCUCUAAAGGAGUUCCGUUCCGGGACGUUCGACGAAAGACUCGCCAAAGGAACCGGGGUAAUUGUCCUCAGAGCGCCGCGUGCGCGUGCUUUUAUUAACUUUUUUUAACAGUUUUUUAUUCGCACGAGCGGGUCGAAGCAGCCGCCCACGAUAACUUUCUGAUGCUGGGCAGAGCGAGAGCUGCAGAUGUCUUAGACCCUGUUAUAUCCAUUUGGAGCUGGAAGCACAAAAGCAUCCUCCAACCAAGUUCUUUGGCAGAUUCUCCUUCCUUACUUGUGCUGAUUCAUGACCCUGCAAUGAUUGGUUAAUAUAAAUACCAAAAGCCGUCCCUGGUUAUUUUAAGGGGUGGCAAUCA